UCGAACGAGAAAGCAUUUUCGGAUGUGAGUAAAGUGGCGAACGGGUGCGUAACACGUGGGUAUCUACCUCUUGGCGGGGGACAACAUCUGGAAACGGAUGCUAAUACCGCAUAAGUCGGCUUCGGCCGGGAAAGGUGGCUUCGGCUAUCACCAGGAGAUGAGCUCGCGGCCCAUCAGCUAGUUGGUGAGGUAAUGGCUCACCAAGGCUACGACGGGUAGCUGGUUUGAGAGGAUGAUCAGCCACACUGGGACUGAGACACGGCCCAGACUCC
rnacentral:rRNA from 1 species